rnacentral:rRNA from 1 species
UAAGUCUCUGUUUAAAUAUCCAGGCUCAACCUGGAGGAAGGCAGGGAAACUGGCUAGCUUGAGCAUAGUAGAGGUAACUGGAAUUUCUAGUGUAGGAGUGAAAUCCGUAGAUAUUAGAAGGAACACCGAUGGCGUAGGCAGGUUACUGGGCUAUUGCUGACACUAAGGCACGAAAGCGUGGGGAGCGAACGGGAUUAGAUACCCCGGUAGUCCACGCCCUAAACGAUGCAUGCUA